CCUCCUGUGGUGGUAGUACAUGCAGGGAGAAUUAACUCAAGUUUUAAAUGACAAAAAUGACACGAAAAGACGCGCAAAAUGACGGUUUAUCACGAAUCCGUGAUUGGGUCCGUGUAUUUAUCUAGCAAUUGUAUUUUCCCUUCUGAAACGGUGUUGAAAAUCAAAAAAGGAGUGGUUAUUUGAUUUUCGUUUUAAAAUACAAAAAUUAAAAUUGAAAUACAAGGCUUUUUUCCUUUUCAUGAUCAAAAAGGGAUAUACGAUUUUUUAAAAUGCGUUGAUUUUCGUUUUAUAUUUAGGAUAACAAGAAAGUAAAAUCAGUAAGAGACAGAAACGAAAAAAGGUCCGUUUUUUCAUUUUCUGAGACCGGAAGUGGUCAUCAGCAAGUGUAGAGCCAAACAGAGUACGGUGCAUAGACUGGAUAUAUUUUUUUUCGUUAGUUUUCAUGGUCAAAAUGAGAGAUCAGGUGGCCGAUCUUAAAAUAAAUCAAUAAGGACUUUUUUAUAGAGCGUUAAAGUUUUGCGAAGCCAGGGGGCGGGACUACUUGACUGACAGUCUGGUCUGGAAUGAUUGACAGGUCCUAUGGAGGAGGCAGCAGAGACUCUGCUCUCCUCGUUUGGAUUAAUUCUGAUAUAAUAACUGUUGGUUUAUUUAUCGGUGGAGCAGCAGAACAUUUUCCACAGAUAGUUUUCCUGCCUGUUGGCUUGUUUUAACCAGUUUUCUGCCUUCAGCUGAUUCUACCAGCAGACACUGAAAGGACUCUGAUAGUUCGAGUGAAAGUAGCAGUUCCUCCUGAAGGUCAGAGAUUGCAGCAUCUGAGGGCCUCUUCAAAAGAAGACGUAGUUGAUGAAGGCGUUCUGGAGCAGGACCAGAAAGACCACGACCAAGCAGCCUUGAGAUCUUAGGCAGCUUCUCCCUCAGGUCCCUCUCCAUCUCCCCACACAUCCACCAACCACUGGAACACAUCUCCAAAGUUCUGCUGGACCAGCUCAGCUUCCCCUCAGAAGAAGUGGCGCCACCUGCCAGAUGAAGGAGCCUUUUGAGAGGCAGCUGGCAUCGUGAUUGGACUGUACUUUGGUCUGUUCCAAUCCAGCUUCAGCUCCAGAGACGGCAGGCGGGAUGAGUCAACGGAGGCCGGAUGGACGAAGGCAUGCAGCUGAGUACAAUCCAGAAAACAAUAGAGGAGGAGUGCAGCGGCCAGAACAACCAGAGUAGCAUCGUAUGUCUGUUAGAAAACAUCGUAGUAGAGCCUUUGGUAUGAAAAAACACCAUCAUAUACAUCAUAGAUUGUACAAAUAACAAGUCAAAGGAAAGAGACAUACAUUGUAGAAUUGUAGUAAUUGUGGGCUGACUGAUUUACUGAUUAUCAGUAUUUUAUUUUUGACUGAUUUACAGUAAUAAAUACAUUUAAAAAUGGCGCUACUUUGGCUCUGAACCUUUGUCUACCUGUGGU